UACCUACCCUUGACAUGUCAAGAAUCUUACAGAGAUGUGAGAGUGCUCGAAAGAGAACUUGAACACAGGUGCUGCAUGGCCGUCGUCAGCUCGUGUCGUGAGAUGUUGGGUUAAGUCCAGCAACGAGCGCAACCCUUGUCAUUAGUUGCUACGAAAGGGCACUCUAAUGAGACUGCCGGUGACAAACCGGAGGAAGGUGGGGAUGACGUCAGGUCCUCAUGGCCCUUAUGGGUAGGGCUACACACGUCAUACAAUGGCCGGUACAGAGGGCUGCCAACCCGCGAGGGGGAGCUAAUCCCAGAAAACCGGUCGUAGUCCGGAUCGCAGUCUGCGACUCGACUGCGUGAAGUCGGAAUCGCUAGUAAUCGCGGAUCAGCUUGCCGCGGUGAAUACGUUCCCGGGUCUUGUACACACCGCCCGUCACACCAUGGGAGCGGGUUCUGCCAGAAGUAGUUAGCCUAACCGCAAGGGGGGCG
rnacentral:rRNA from 1 species